CUCCAUACCAUUUGAAUUUCGACAGCUGUCUUGGAGCAUCGGAGGUUAUGGGACUUUUGAAAAUGUCAUUACACUAGCAAAUAUUUUUAAACUCUUCAAUCCCAGUCUGAUGUAUCCAUCCCCAGCAAUGACGAUGCACGGCAAACCUACGACUGUCAGCGAGACUGGCUUUAACUUUGCCGUCACCGGC